rnacentral:rRNA from 1 species
AAUCAACGCUGGCGGCGUGCCUCAGACAUGCAAGUCGAACGCGAAAGUUCCCUUCGGGGGAUAAGUAGAGUGGCGUCCGGGUGAGUAACACGUAGGUAAUCUACCUUUGGGUGGGGAAUAACAACCGGAAACGGUUGCUAAUACCGCAUAAUGCAGCGGCACCACAUGGUGACAGUUGUUAAAGCGGGGGAUCGCAAGACCUCGCGCCUAAAGAGGAGCCUGCGGCGGAUUAGCUAGUUGGAGGGUAACGGCCUACCAAGGCAACGAUCCGUAGCCGGCCUGAGAGGGCGGUCGGCCACACUGACACUGAAAUACGGGUCAGACUCCUACGGGAGGCAGCAGUCGGGAAUUUUGGGCAAUGGGCGAAAGCCUGACCCAGCAACGCCGCGUGAAGGAUGAAAUCCCUCGGGAUGUAAACUUCGCAAGAACAGGAAGAAUAAGUAGGGGACAACUACCCCCUAUGAUGACGGUACUGUUGUAAGCUCGGCUAACUCGUGCCAGCCGCCGCAGUAA